AAAAUACUUUAUUGAUCCCAAUCGGAAAUUAAAUAUAUUGACCGUACUAUGGUCAAUAAAAAUGGUAAGAGAUGACUAUGCACACACUCACACAAAAAAAACCUAACAAAAAAUUACCUGACAUAAACAACAGUCCCAUUGUCCCAUAUUUACUAAAAACAUGAGUAAAAACCAUCUCAGCUAUCUGGGAUAAUGCAGAGAGAAAACAAUACUGUAUCUAAAGAAUAAAUGGGAAACAAAACUUAAAAUAACAGUUGAAGAAUUAUCCCAAACGUGAGAAAUACAGCAAAGCAUAAUAAAUUCAUUCAUUCAUUCAUUCAUUCAUUUUGCUGGAAGACUUGAACAAGAUUUCUUAAAUCAAAAGUAAACAGACUUCUGCAUUUUAAGAAUGCUGGGGGAUCAUGUGGAGAAGUAGAAGCCAAUCAGUCACAUAUUUUUGGAGAUGAAGAAAAAUAACUGGGCAUUGUGAGCAAGUUGAAUCAACAUUGAUUAAAAUUCUGGGACAUACGAUCCCAAAUUCUUAAAAUAUGAUGGAUUCUGGAAAUAUGACAAUGGUGAGUAAAAAAAAAGAUAUGCUUCCGUCAAAGGUAAUGAUUAGUUUAAAAAAAAAAAAAAAAAAAAGGGUAAAAUCAAGAAGUUGGUUGAAGCCAGAUGAUUGAAUCAGGAUUUUGGGAAGAAUCUGAGUGAUGGAAAAAAAUGACAAAUAAUCUUUGACUGAAUCAAAAAGUGGGGAAAAUGGAGCCUCCUCCAAAGUGACACACACAAGACUGUAAAUAAAGCUGAAUGAAUAAUAAAUAUCAUUAUCAAUAUACAGACUGUUGAGCACUUUUUUGUUUCUGUUUUCUGUUUGGCUAUUUGCACAAAAAAAAUCUAUAGAAAUUAUGGUGUAUAUAAAAUGAAUCAAGGUUCUUACAGAUUGACAUGCUUUUAUACCAAGGUCAUGACAUGACAAUUUAUUUGCAUGCUUGUUUUUAUUAUUGAUAUAAAUGUUACAGACAGCAUCGACUGUUGUCGGCGUAGUGAUGGAAGAGAAGAGGAGAGA